CCUACGGGUGGCUGCAGUCGAGAAUCAUUCACAAUGGGGGAAACCCUGAUGGUGCGACGCCGCGUGGGGGAAUGAAGGUCUUCGGAUUGUAAACCCCUGUCAUGUGGGAGCAAAUUAAAAAGAUAGUACCACAAGAGGAAGAGACGGCUAACUCUGUGCCAGCAGCCGCGGUAAUACAGAGGUCUCAAUCGUUGUUCGGAAUCACUGGGCGGAAAGCGUGCGUAGGCUGUUUCGUAAGUCGUGUGUGAAAGGCGCGGGCUCAACCCGCGGACGGCACAUGAUACUGCGAGACUAGAGUAAUGGAGGGGGAACCGGAAUUCGCGGUGUAGCAGUGAAAUGCGUAGAUAUCGAGAGGAACACUCGUGGCGAAGGCGGGUUACUGGACAUUAACUGACGCUGAGGCACGAAGGCCAGGGGAGCGAAAGGGAUUAGAUACCCUAGUAGUC
rnacentral:rRNA from 1 species